GCUUUACAGAUGCUCCUCACCCCUUGGCUGAAACCCUUCUAAUUUAGUGUACCCUACGUGCACAACACAUGUGGAAUUCCUGGUCUCUGGCAGCGUUUGGAACUGCCGAUUGGUUCAUCUCAGCCUAUGCUGCCCUUCAGUCCCAUCACUUUUUGGCCCUGACGGGGACAUGGCUCACCCCAGAGAACACUGCUGCUCUCUCCUCAUCUGACUACGUUUUCUCUCAUAGAGCAAGAGCAUCUAGUUGUCGCGGUAGUGGCACAGGGCUACUAAUUUUUCCUAACUGGAGAUUUUCUCUUUUCUCCCUCUCUCACCUGUCCAUCUCCUCAUUUGAAUUCUGUGCUGUCACUGUCACUUGUACACUCAAGCUUAAUACCCUCUCUACUCCGUACUGGUGACUCUCACUUUACCUUCUCUGUUAACAGCCUCUCUACUCUGCACCGGUGCCUCCCUCUCUACUCUGUACCGGUGCCUCUUACUUUUCCAAAUUACUCCUAACAAAGGCUUGGAAAUAACAGGAAUCAUGUUGCCAUGCAAACCAUGCAGCUUGCUUUUGAAUCAGCGAGACAGCUGGAAGGUGUGAGGUCUGAAAAUGACAUGGCACAUUUUGAAUGCGUCUCUAUUGAUUUCCAAUCAUCUGCAAUUAACCGGGCCGUGUGAGUGCGGAACUGGGAUGUAAACGGAGAAAUGCCCAUCGGAAUAUGUUUGGUUUCACAGCACGCUAAUGCUUUCCAUCCACACUCCGAUUGUCAAAAUUUUUUCCCCCUGUGAUGGUGAUGGGUAAAGGUUUUUGAAUGGUUUUCUUAGCAGCAAAUUGUCUGCAAAUUGUCAGCAAAUUGUUUUCUGUUUUUUAGAGUACCUGUAACCUGAAUAUACAGCAAUGUGAACAUGCAUGAAAUUACCCUGAAGUUACUCUCUCUCUGAAAGACUUGGCACUUACUAUCCUAGCUGACAAUGAGUCUAAUUGCAGUGUGUGGGGUUUUGUCAAUGACAGACAGAAUUGUGUGCAGGCACAGCUCGCUGACAUCAUCACAGUGCCUGGGCUAAUAGAAUAGGCUUUGAUUAAAUUGUGUUAAUGAGCAACUGGAUCUGGCUGCUGGGUAAUUGAAUUAGAACCUAGCUCAACCUCCAAUGGGACGACAGGAGCAACAGCUGCUGGGAGCUAGGAGGACGGGAGGGCAAAACAGAGGUUAUUUAUAUGUAUGGAGACAUGGAGAAUAGAAACAUAGGAUAAGGAGCGAGAACCCUAACUGGACAAAGGAGAGAACUCACCAGGCAAAGUAAUGUUGAAUACAUUUUUAUCGACGCCAUAUUUGAUAUUUUUUCAACAUACUAAAGUUUUUUGGGCUGAAUUUACAAAAAGGUCAGGCUUUAGCCCGGUUGGCUGCACUCUGGUGACACCACACAUGUUUUUUCAAGCUUCUAUCUCCCAUCCUCAGACAUACACACAGAUAAAGGUCUUAUCCCCGAUGGGCCAUGCAGCAUAUUUGAAGUGGACCGCCUUAUCAAUCCCCUCCAUCAACUAGCCUGGAUGAGAGGAGGAGAGGAGGGAGAAGACUGAGGAAGGAUGCUGUAUACAUAGGAGGGUCAGGAAAAAAAGGAGAGAAUGAAUGGUAGGAGGAGGGGAAGGAGACAGGAGGUUUAAAGGUAGGAGGAAGGAGACAUGAAAGUAGAAGGAGGAGGGGAAGGAGACAGGAAGGUGGAAGGGGACAGGAGGGUUAAAGAUAGGAGUGAAGGAGACAGGAGGGUAAAAGGAGGAGGGGAAGGAGACAGUAGGGUUAAAGGUGGAAGGAGACAUGAAGGUAGGAGGAGGAGGGGAAGGAGACAGAAAGGUGGAAGGGGACAGGAGGGUUAAAGAUAGGAGUGAAGGAGACAGGAGGGUAAAAGGAGGAGGGGAAGAAGACAGCAGGGUUAAAGAUGGAAGGAGACAUGAAGGUAGAAGGAGACAGGAAGGUGGAAGGGGACAGGAGGUUUAAAGAUAGGAGUGAACGAGACAGGAGGGUAAAAGGAGGAGGGGAAGGAGACAGCAGGGUUAAAGGUGGAAGGAGACAUGAAGGUAGAAGGAGGAGGGGAAGGAGACAGGAAGGUGGAAGGGGACAGGAGGGUUAAAGAUAGGAGUGAAGGAGACAGGAGGGUAAAAGGAGGAGGGGAAGGAGACAGCAGGGUUAAAGGUGGAAGGAGACAUGAAGGUUGAAGGAGGAGGGGAAGGAGACAGCAGGGUUAAAGGUGGAAGGAGACAUGAAGGUUGACGGAGGAGGGGAAGGAGACAGGAAGGUGGAAGGGGACAGGAGGGUUAAAGAUAGGAGUGAAGGAGACAGGAGGGUAAAAGGAGGAAGGGAAGGAGACAGGAGGGUUAAAUGUAGAAGAAGGAGUGGAAGGAGACAGGAGCAGUGGCGACCCGUCAAUUAGGGCAGGUAAGAGCCCCACCUGUUUUGGGCCUCACAUUUUUGGGGGAAAAAUAAUAAUUGAAACAAAAAUAUGGCCACAGAUAAAAUGUCAUGCCCUAAUGUUUCACCUGUCCUUGUGCUAAUUGAGUCUUCGCAGGUUCCUGUGGUAUUGGGAUUCUCUUGGCUCUAGCAACACAAUCCCUAAUGCCAUCGUGGGCUGGAGCCCAUUCUGCCACACUCAUUGCCUGAAAUCAGCUCUGCCUGCCCCGGGACUUCUUCCUAGGGGCUUGAAAAUUGCCCCAGACCUCUCCGCCAUUCCCGCGGAGUACCAGGACCUCUGGGAGGGGUUCAGUAAGGCCCG
rnacentral:lncRNA from 1 species